rnacentral:rRNA from 1 species
CACGUAGGAGGCGAACGUUAUCCGGAUUUAUUGGGCGUAAAGCGCGUGUAGGUGGUUCUGUAAGUAGGGCGUGAAAGCUCCUGGCUCAACCGGGAGAGGCCGUUCUAUACUGCAGAGCUAGAGGAUGGUAGAGGGAGGUGGAAUUCCAGGUGUAGCGGUGGAAUGCGCAGAUAUCUGGAGGAACACCAGUGGCGAAGGCGGCCUCCUGGACCAUUCCUGACACUGAGACGCGAAAGCUAGGGUAGCAAACGGGAUUAGAUACCCGCGUA